UACGGGGGGGGGCAAGCGUUGUUCGGAAUUACUGGGCGUAAAGGGCUCGUAGGUGGCCAACUAAGUCAGACGUGAAAUCCCUCGGCUUAACCGGGGAACUGCGUCUGAUACUGGAUGGCUCGAGGUUGGGAGAGGGAUGCGGAAUUCCAGGUGUAGCGGUGAAAUGCGUAGAUAUCUGGAGGAACACCGGUGGCGAAGGCGGCAUCCUGGACCAAUUCUGACACUGAGGAGCGAAAGCCAGGGGAGCAAACGGG
rnacentral:rRNA from 1 species